rnacentral:lncRNA from 1 species
ACGAAAAGAAUACAAAGAGCAAAUAAAGGCAGCCAACAGGGGACUUAGCAAUGAAACGCUGAGCUAAGAAUAGGAGAGGGAUUGACAAAGGGAAAAUGGGCUAAAGAAGGGAUGGUGAUGGAGGCCGGUGAGACCAAGGAGAGGAAAAGGUGAAGAAGCAGGAUAGGCUAGAGCCCUGGGCCCUGGGGAAAAGGUGAAGCGGGCCAAAAGGUUAACCUCGGAAAAGCGGUAGUGGGUGGGGGUGGAGAGAAGAGGGCGUACUCAGCGCAUGCGCCAGACGCAAACUGCGGCGACCCUGGAGAGGCAGUCCUUUAACUGGCAUCAGCGCUGCGGCUGGAGGCGCGGGUGUCGCUCAGUUGACUGUCCAGUUCUACCUUGGUCUGUGCAGCAGCCCUAGAUCUGCGAACUCUGUGCCGCCGCUCCCUGUACCCUGUCUUGAGGCAGCAAGCGCUAAGAAUUCAUGCUACGACACUCGAUUCUGCCCGGAGGUGACACCAGAUGUGAUCAGAAGCCAUGCCAUUGGUGAAGAGGUAUAUUGAGCCCCGUCUAGCCCAGUGAGGUUACUAGAAAAUUGGGAGAGGCUUAAACCAACAUCCUGCACAUGGUUAUCAAAUCGUUGUGAAGUCUGAAAAUCACCUAGGAUGCCUCUAAAAAUGCAGAUUCCUGGGCAGCCAGAAACCUUGUCCUUGGUCAACACUACCACCUACCUGUCACUUAUAUUGCGGCUUCCUGCCCAGUGGGUUCAUCAGCAAGCCAGAAUGAAUCUCCUCCAUUGCCAUAGAUGUCCUUGUGAGGUGGAAGCCUUGGAGACCUUUAGAAACAACUUGUCAAGUCCUCACCAUGAAUACCAUUAGAAUUGCAGUUGGAAUGGCACAGAUUAAUUUUUGAAGAGCUGUCAUCUUUAUAAUCUUCUAAUACAUGAAUGUGGUAUGUUUCUCCUUUUAUUCAGGUCUUAAAUAAUCAAUGUGUGUCUAUUACACUUCUUAUCUUCAAUAUUUUUCCUAGUUUCUGAAAGAAAUAGGCAGAUGUCCUAGGAACUGAGGUUCUUUUGAGAAAAGUACAGAAGAUGUCAUCUGCAUAGACUAGAUUCUUCAGUAUAAAAGGUCAUACAGGGAUCCUUGGGUGGCGCAGCGGUUUGGCGCCUGUCUUUGGCCCAGGGCGCGAUCCUGGAGACCCGGGAUCGAAUCCCACGUCGGGCUCCCGGUGCAUGGAGCCUGCUUCUCCCUCUGCCUAUGUCUCUGCCUCUCUCGCUCUCUCUCUG